CAAAAUGUAGUUUAAUUAAACCGUUUCGCUUACACCGAGAAGAUAUUUGUACCCGAAUCAUUUUGA
rnacentral:tRNA from 1 species